UACGUAGGUGGCAAGCGUUGUCCGGAAUUAUUGGGCGUAAAGCGCGCGCAGGCGGCCUUUUAAGUCUGAUGUGAAAUCUUGCGGCUCAACCGCAAGCGGCCAUUGGAAACUGGGAGGCUUGAGUACAGAAGAGGAGAGUGGAAUUCCACGUGUAGCGGUGAAAUGCGUAGAUAUGUGGAGGAACACCAGUGGCGAAGGCGACUCUCUGGUCUGUAACUGACGCUGAGGCGCGAAAGCGUGGGGAGCGAACAGG
rnacentral:rRNA from 1 species